CUGGGAUGGAUUAUGGCAGUUCUGCCUCUGCUACCGUUGCCGAUCUGCGCUGCGGUGGCGAUGUGCAAGGCUCGCGGUAGCUUCAUGCAGAG